AGGAUGAAGGAGGGGCAGAGAGAGAGGAGAGGUAAGGAUGAAGGAGGGGCAGAGAGAGAGAGGAGAGGUAAGGAUGAAGGAGGGGCAGAGAGAGGGGUAGAGGUAAGGAUGAAGGAGGGGCAGAGAGAGGGGUAGAGGUAAGGAUGAAGGAGGGGCAGAGAGAGGGGUAGAGGUAAGGAUGAAGGAGGGGCAGAGAGAGGGGUAGAGGUAAGGAUGAAGGAGGGGCAGAGAGAGAGGUAGAGGUAAGGAUGAAGGAGGGGCAGAGAGAGAGGUAGAGGUAAGGAUGAAGGAGGGGCAGAGAGAGAGGAGAGGGGUAGAGGUAAGGAUGAAGGAGGGGCAGAGAGAGAGGAGAGGGGUAGAGGUAAGGAUGAAGGAGGGGCAGAGAGAGAGGAGAGGGGUAGAGGUAAGGAUGAAGGAGGGGCAGAGAGAGGAGAGGGGUAGAAGGAAGGAUGCAGAAAGGGAGAAGAGUAGAAGUACAGAUGACCUUCAAGGAGGAGAGGAGGAGGGGAACAGACAGAGGAUCUCCAAUGAGGAGAGGAGGAGGGGAACAGACAGAGGAUCUUCAAGGAGGAGAGUAGAGGAGAGAGGGAUCAAUAGCCCUCAUCCCUACUGCAGGUGACCAGCGUGGGAAGCCUCACACACACAGAUAAUAGAUGUUCUAUUGAGGAACCUAGACAUCUCGUGCAGCAUGUAGGGAAUAGGGGGCUAUUUGGUACUCAUAUAGUGCAGCAUGUAGGGAAUUAGGGUGCUAUUUGGUACUCAUCUAGUGCAGCAUGUAGGGAAUAGGGGGCUAUUUGGAACUCAUCUAGUGAGUCUGAGAAACAGAUGCUGUAGAUGUGGGUGUUGUAGACGA